UGGGGAAUUUUGGACAAUGGGCGAAAGCCUGAUCCAGCCAUGCCGCGUGCAGGAUGAAGGCCUUCGGGUUGUAAACUGCUUUUGUACGGAACGAAAAGACUCUGGUUAAUACCUGGGGUCCAUGACGGUACCGUAAGAAUAAGCACCGGCUAACUACGUGCCAGCAGCCGCGGUAAUACGUAGGGUGCAAGCGUUAAUCGGAAUUACUGGGCGUAAAGCGUGCGCAGGCGGUUAUAUAAGACAGAUGUGAAAUCCCCGGGCUCAACCUGGGAACUGCAUUUGUGACUGUAUAGCUAGAGUACGGCAGAGGGGGAUGGAAUUCCGCGUGUAGCAGUGAAAUGCGUAGAUAUGCGGAGGAACACCGAUGGCGAAGGCAAUCCCCUGGGCCUGUACUGACGCUCAUGCACGAAAGCGUGGGGAGCAAACAGGAUUAGAUACCCUGGUAGUCCACGCCCUAAACGAUGUCAACUGGUUGUUGGGUCUUCACUGACUCAGUAACGAAGCUAACGCGUGAAGUUGACCGCCUGGGGAGUACGGCCGCAAGGUUG
rnacentral:rRNA from 1 species